rnacentral:rRNA from 1 species
GACGAACGCUGGCGGCGUGCUUAACACAUGCAAGUCGAACGGUAAGGCCCUUCGGGGUACACGAGUGGCGAACGGGUGAGUAACACGUGGGUGAUCUGCCCUGCACUUCGGGAUAAGCCUGGGAAACUGGGUCUAAUACCGGAUAGGACUCCGGACUGCAUGGUCUGGGGUGGAAAGCUUUUGCGGUGUGGGAGGGGGCCGCGGCCUAUCAGCUUGUUGGUGGGGUGAUGGCCUACCAAGGCGACGACGGGUAGCCGGCCUGGGAGGGUGACCGGCAAGACUGGGACUAAGAUACGGCCCAGACUCCUACUGGAGGCAGCAGUGGGGAAUAUUGCACAAAGGGCGAAAGCCUGAUGCAGCGACGCCGCGUGGGGGAUGACGGCCUUCGGGUUGUAAACCUCUUUCAGCAUCGACGAAGCGAAAGUGACGGUAGGUGCAGAAGAAGGACCGGCCAACUACGUGCCAGCCGCCGCAGUAA